rnacentral:rRNA from 1 species
UACAGAGGUCUCAACCGUUGUUCGGAUUCAUUGGGCGUAAAGGGUGCGUAGGCGGCGGGGUAAGUCAGGUGUGAAAUCUCGGGGCUCAACCCCGAAACUGCACUUGAUACUGCCUCGCUUGAGUACUGGAGAGGAGACUGGAAUUUACGGUGUAGCGGUGAAAUGCGUAGAUAUCGUAAGGAAGACCAGUGGCGAAGGCGGGUCUCUGGACAGUUCCUGACGCUGAGGCACGAAGGCCAGGGGAGCAAACGGG